GCCCCGCCCUCUAGGCUCCGCGGCACAGGGCAGGGGGCGGUGGCUGGCUGGGCGUGGGGCCUAAUUCGGCAGUGCAGAUCUAACACCUGCGUCGAGACCCGCCUUCGCGGCUCCUUGUCCCCACUCGCAGCCAUCGCCGGCCUCUGGGCCUGUGAGAAGGCGAUGGAGCGCGCGCGCAGGGAGGGAAAUGGAAGCGCGAGAGCUCUCCGAGGACGCGCUUCUUCCACCCGCCCCCAAACCGUCCGCGCUGAGAAAGGGAAACGGGUAGAGGGAGAGGUUUGUUUCCAACUCGAAAUCGCGAGAUUAGUCCCUUCCGUUGUACGCCCUCUCCGCCCUCAGGUUCCCUUCUCGGGCCCAUUCGUCCACACUCUGAACCGGAAUAACGUGGGAUGCGCGUCAAAAUGCAGAUUCCUUCAUCCUCAUCUCUGACCUGAAUCAGCCUGCAAACCUGCAUUUCGUGAGCCAUCCUUAAAGUUUAUUGAAUUGGCCAUAAGCUGAUUGUAAGGCCCAUGACAGUUUGAGACUGGUGUCAUAAAGAGACUGGAAUAACCAUUUGUAGAAUAUUCUUUAUUUAAAGAAAUCGACGUUUAUAAGCAAACACUGUUAGUGCCCUCUGACAAAAGAGAAAAGCAACUAAAUCACCGUUGGUCAUUUCCUGAUCAUCUGAUUGUCCACCCACUAGAGUGUCUUAAAAACUACAUCAAGCUGGGAAGAAAGGAAGAAGAAUGGAAUAAGUAAAUGUAAAAAGGGAACGUGUACAAAAGACUAGAGGAAGCACCAAUGCUUUACAAUUUGCAUUUCAUCCUAACAGAAUGAAAAGAAAAAUCACUGGAGAGUGAAACAAUGAAAUGAAGAGGAGACUGUCUAAUACACAGGCCUCAUUCCCUGUUUCUGCAUUAGCAUCUGACCCCCUCUGCUGGAGACAAAGACACCGGAAAAAGGAAUGUAGAGAAAGAGACCGAAGAAGAAUGUUUUCGAUAAAGGAGUGGCAAGGAAAGAAGUGAAAGAAAAUGUUGAUCAAGUCCAGGAAAACAUAAGAGGAAGAAAUACAAAGCCAGGUGAAAGAAUAAGAGAGAGAAAGGAGGAAAAAAUUGCUGAAUGAAACAAAAGACAGAUUAACAAAUGGAGCAAAGGUGGUAUUGUAAAUAUUAUUUAAAUAAUUGCUAAUUAUGUAGGUUUUAAAAAAAUGAAGUGGGCAAAGAACUGAGAAAGAAAGACCUCAUAGUGGAUGUAAUUUGAAAUUGCCAAAAAUAUGUACUUGGUGUAUUGGCAAUAAAGCAAAACUGGGAUACUCCCAACUAGGUUCAAAGUUAUGCCAUCUCUGUGUGUAUCUAUCUAGAGCUAGAAGAAUUUCCCAUGACUAAGUUAAAUAUCUCAUUCCAGGU